UUACCAACCUGGAUAAUGCUAUUACAGGUGCCAGUUUGGUGCAGUGUCUUUACCAACCUGGAUAACGCUAUUACAGGUGCCAGUUUGGUGCAGUGUCUUUACCAACCUGGAUAAUGCUAUUACAGGUGCCAGUUUGGUGCAGUGUCUUUACCAACCUGGAUAACGCUAUUACAGGUGCCAGUUUGGUGCAGUGUCUUUACCAACCGGGAUAAUGCUAAUACAGGUGCCAGUUUGGUGCAGUGUCUUUACCAACCUGGAUAAUGCUAUUACAGGUGCCAGUUUGGUGCAGUGUCUUUACCAACCUGGAUAAUGCUAAUACAGGUGCCAGUUUGGUGCAGUGUCUUUACCAACCUGGAUAAUGCUAAUACAGGUGCCAGUUUGGUGCAGUGUCUUUACCAACCUGGAUAAUGCUAAUACAGGUGUCACCUUUAAUCUGCCAUGUUUUUUAUAAUUUCCCCAUCAAUGUUUGUUAGGCAUCAAUAUUUUGGAAAAUAUCUUGUUUUUGGUGUUUGUGUUCUCAACGCAGGUUUCUUAUAUUUCUUGAGGUGAAAAGUUUGGUGGACAGGCAGACAGUGUAAAGUUCUAUCAUUGAACCUUUACUGCCCCCCCAUCAGCACACAUCACCUUUAAGAAAACAGUUCAGAUGCCCCAAUCAGCACACAUCACCUUUAAGAAAACAGUUGAGAUGCCCCCAUCAGCACACAUCACCUUUAAGAAAACAGUUGAGAUUCCUAGACAGAGGGGUCCACCCAUCCAUGGCAUUAGGAAACAUUCCACAUGUUAAUUAGAUGUGAAAACAUGUGAUUUGUUGAUUCUGUAGAGUAAAUGCUGAUAGCUGUUGGACAUUUAGGACCAGAUUGGUUGAUUCUGUAGAGUAAAUGCUGAUAGCUGUUGAACAUGUAGGGCCAGAUUUUAAAUGUGCCAAGUUUGCAUAAUAUUCACAUUUAAGAAAUGGAACGAAAAGUCCUAAACCUCAAGUGAACUGUACUGAAUAUAGUUCCUUAUCGAACAUGGAUGCUCUAUUGCAGAACAGUAGAACCAAGUCAUUCACAUCAGUUUAGAUGUAGAAAUCAUUUAGUUAAGCUGAGGCUGUUCUGCAGUUGAACUUUUCAUUUCAUCUUUCAUUGCUGUAAAAUCAUAACACUGAAUUCAUCAUCACACACAGAUUUUUGUUUGAUUAUAUUAAUCAAUGAUAAAUGAAAUAAAUCUAUGGUUGGAACAGAUUUCCUGGUAUUAACAUGGAAGGUUGCCCAGGUAACCUUGGGUCUGUAAAUGAUCUGUUAUUUACUUCCUGCUCUGACAUUUCUAACAAUGACUGGUUAAUGGAACAUCGAAGUCAUCGAUCUGUUUUAUUGUUGUUGUCGUGGUGAAAAGGAUAUUUUAAUUCAUUAGUAGAAUUUUUCACAUCGAUUUGCGUGUAUCAUCUAGCUUUGGUUUUCAAUAAAAGACACUAUAUAAUACCA